rnacentral:rRNA from 1 species
UACGGAGGGGGCUAGCGUUGUUCGGAAUUACUGGGCGUAAAGCGCGCGUAGGCGGCUUUGUAAGUUAGAGGUGAAAGCCCGGAGCUCAACUCCGGAACUGCCUUUAAGACUGCAUCGCUAGAACGAUGGAGAGGUGAGUGGAAUUCCGAGUGUAGAGGUGAAAUUCGUAGAUAUUCGGAAGAACACCAGUGGCGAAGGCGACUCACUGGACAUCCGUUGACGCUGAGGUGCGAAAGCGUGGGGAGCAAACAGG